rnacentral:rRNA from 1 species
ACGCUGGCGGCAGGCCUAACACAUGCAAGUCGAGCGCACCUUUCGGGGUGAGCGGCGGACGGGUUAGUAACGCGUGGGAAUAUACCCUUUGGUACGGAAUAGCCUCUGGAAACGGAGAGUAAUACCGUAUGAGCCCUUCGGGGGAAAGAUUUAUCGCCAAAGGAUUAGCCCGCGUUAGAUUAGGUAGUUGGUGGGGUAAUGGCCUACCAAGCCUACGAUCUAUAGCUGGUUUUAGAGGAUGAUCAGCAACACUGGGACUGAGACACGGCCCAGACUCCUACGGGAGGCAGCAGUGGGGAAUCUUGGACAAUGGGCGCAAGCCUGAUCCAGCCAUGCCGCGUGAGUGAUGAAGGCCUUAGGGUCGUAAAGCUCUUUCGCCUGUGAAGAUAAUGACGGUAGCAGGUAAAGAAACCCCGGCUAACUCCGUGCCAGCAGCCGCGGUAAUACGGAGGGGGUUAGCGUUGUUCGGAAUUACUGGGCGUAAAGCGCACGUAGGCGGACUGGAAAGUAUGGGGUGAAAUCCCAGGGCUCAACCCUGGAACUGCCUCAUAAACUAUCAGUCUAGAGUUCGAGAGAGGUGAGUGGAAUUCCGAGUGUAGAGUGAAAUUCGUAGAUAUUCGGAGGAACACCAGUGGCGAAGGCG